AUGCGGAUGACGUGUCCAGACCAUCGUAGCUGGAUUCUGAGGACCAUGACUUCGAUGCUGGUGGAGUUGGCUCUGUCGAGGACUUCCUGGUUGGUGAUUUGGUCCUGCCAUCGGAUUCUCAUGAUUGACCGGAGAGAGCAUUGGUGGAAUUGCUCCAGCUGUUUCAUGUGCUUCCGGUACAGUGUCCAUGUCUCACAACCGUACAGGAGCGAGCUGAGGACCACUGCGUUGUACACAUUGAGCUUCGUUGCAGUGCUUACACCGCUGUGUUGGAGGACUUUAGAGCACAGCUGCCCAAGUGCCUGGCUGGCCUUUUGGAUCCUGGCAUUGAUCUCGUGGUCUAGGGACCCGUCCUUGGUGAUGGUACUGCCCAGGUCUUCAAUAGCAGUGUUGUUCUUGUCGAACCAGUCCUGGUGGUUGCGUUGUUUGGGGCCUAGGACUACCUUUGAUGUUUCCAUCACCAUGUCUCUGAACUGGUUCCAUUUCUCGGUUGAGCUUCCAGUGAGUGGUCCCUUGGCAGACAGCUUGUUGUCCAGACAGGACUGGAAUGUUUGCAGAGAAAAUGGAUCUCUGAGAUGACUCACAUUGCAAGAUGCACGAACUGUCUGGGAGCGUUUUGGAUGGUGAGGCACAAUGCGUACUUGAAGAGUCGCUCUAACCAAUCGGUGGUCUGUCUAGCAUUCAGCUCCUCUCAUGGCUCUGGUGAUCUGUACAACCUGGAUGUCUCACCAGCGUACAAUGAUGUAGUCAACUCAUUAUAACAUAAACUCAAGGCUCACUCUCCCAACUCCCACUCUUACUGGAAGGUCAGAUUCCCAUCACUCUCAAUUUAUAUCUCCUUAUAGAGUUCAAGUGCCUCUAUCUAGUGUGUCUUCCCUUCCCAAGGACUCAUUACUAUCUCUUCAGUAUCAGUUUGAUUAACUCAUCUCUUCUCAAUGUCAACUAACCAAUUAACAUCCAUUGGUAUCUCCAGUAACUUUGCCAAGAAAAUCCUAAAUGUGUCCACGACAUUGUCCAAGAUUGAAACAACUGAACAACAAUGACCACAAUGGUUUUAGAGGAAUAUUUACUAAAAAAAGAAUCACAAAGAAAUAAUGCAAACAUCUUCUCCCAGUCUGAGACACAUUCUCUCCUCUCUAAACACCCAUUCAGUCCUUGAGAGAGUGGCUUUAAAUUUAAAGUGGUUACUACAAUGCAUUCUCCCUACCAACGCAGGUGUGGUAUAGAGGAUGAAUGAUUCAAACCCUUGCUUGCAGUAUACAGUAUUUUAAUUUUCUAAUCACUCCAAUGCUAGGCUGAGUCAAGCAGGUCACACUUCAGAUCUGAUUCCUCAUUGAUGUCAGCUACUACAGCUACAGACAAACUCUACUAUGAACCUUAAUCACUGGACUUCCAACCAUUGAAAUUCAUGAGAUUAUAACUUGGUCCAUUUCAUCUCUGAUGCUCAUUUUCCUAAGGUCAAGAAAGAAUAAACACAACAGAAAUGAUGAACA
rnacentral:lncRNA from 1 species